rnacentral:rRNA from 1 species
AGAGUUUGAUCCUGGCUCAGGAUUAACGUUGGUAGUAUGCUUAACACAUGCAAGUCGAACGGAGAGAUGGUAACAUCUCUUGCCCGACAGGGCCUUGCGUGGCGAACGGGUGAGUAAUGCUUACCUUACUUGCCGAUUAGUGGGGGAUAACCAUAGGAAGCUUUGGGUAAUACCGCAUAUUCUGGUUUUGGCCAGGAAAG